rnacentral:rRNA from 1 species
AAAAAUAAAAAUUGAAUUUUUUUUAAUUUGUGCAAAAACAAUUAUUAUUAUUAAAGACAAGAAGACCCUAAGAAUUUAUGAUUUUGCAAUUAGAAUUUUUUUCAAAAAAUCUUGAUUGGGGCGAUCAAAAAAUAUUAAUAACUUUUUAAAUUUAAAUUGAUCUAUUAUUAAUAAACUAAUGAAUUAAAUACUCUAGGGAUAACAGCGUAAUAAUUUUUGAUAGAUCUUAUUGACAAAAUAGUUUGCGACCUCGAUGUUGGAUUAGGAUCCUUUUUUAAUGAAGAAGUUAAAAAAAGAAGUUUGUUCAACUUUUAAAUUCCUACUUGAUC